CCAUGUGUAGCGUAAAUGCGUAAUAUAGGAGGACACCGGGGGAAGCGGCUGCUGGCCACAAUGACACUGAAGCACGAAAGCGUGGGGGCAACAGGUUAGAUACCCUGGUAGUCCAGCCGUAACGAGAGUCUAAGGUAGGGGAAACUCUGGCUGUAGUUAACGCAAUAAGUACUCCGCCUGAGUAGUACGUACGCAAGUAUGAAACUCAAAGGAAUUGACGGGACCCCGCACAAGCGGUGGAUCAUGUUGUUUAAUUCGAUGAUACGCGAAGAACCUUACCAGGUCUUGACAUCCCCCGCGAUGCUUUAGAGAUAAAGCGGAGGUAUUCGGGGAGACAGGUGGUGCAUGGUUGUCGUCAGCUCGUGUCGUGAGAUGUUGGGUUAAGUCCCGCAACGAGCGCAACCCCUAUUGCUAGUUACCAUCAUUAAGUUGGGGACUCUAGCGAGACUGCCAGUGAUAAACUGGAGGAAGGUGGGGAUGACGUCAAAUCAUCAUGCCCCUUAUGACCUGGGCUACAAACGUGAUACAAUGGCUGGAACAAAGGGAUGCGAAGCAGUGAUGUGGAGCGAAACCCAAAAAUACAGUCUCAGUUCGGA
rnacentral:rRNA from 1 species